rnacentral:rRNA from 1 species
AUCCUCAAGCUCGAUUUCGCCAAAGCUUUCGACUCCAUUGACUGGAGGAGCCUCCGCCGGAUCAUGAGGGCUCAGGGCUUCCCCGAGCUUUGGUGUGAUUGGAUGGACGCCAUCUUCUAGUCCUCUCGCUCGGCCGUCCUGCUCAACGGUGUGCCGGGGCGGUGGUUCACGAUCCAGUGCAGUCUGCGCCAGGGGGAUCCGAUCUCCCCCUACCUCUUCCUCCUGGUGGCCGACGUCCUCCAACGCAUGAUCCGGCAAGACGAUGUACUGAUGCACCCGCUGGUGGACAGCGAGCCCCCGGUCGUGCUUUAG